UACAGAGGGUGCGAGCGUUGUUCGGAAUUAUUGGGCGUAAAGGGCGCGUAGGCGGUGCGGUAAGUCACCUGUGAAAUCUCCUGGCUCAACUGGGAGCUUGCAGGCGAAACUGCCGUGCUGGAGUGUGGGAGAGGUGCGUGGAAUUCCUGGUGUAGCGGUGAAAUGCGUAGAUAUCAGGAGGAACACCUGAGGCGAAAGCGGCGCACUGGACCACAACUGACGCUGAGGCGCGAAAGCUAGGGGAGCAAACAGG
rnacentral:rRNA from 1 species